GUAGGGAAUAUUGGACAAUGGGCGAAAGCCUGAUCCAGCAAUGCCGCGUGAGUGAUGAAGGCCUUAGGGUUGUAAAGCUCUUUUACCAGGGAUGAUAAUGACAGUACCUGGAGAAUAAGCUCCGGCUAACUCCGUGCCAGCAGCCGCGGUAAUACGGAGGGAGCUAGCGUUGUUCGGAAUUACUGGGCGUAAAGCGCGCGUAGGCGGCGAUUUAAGUCAGAGGUGAAAGCCCGGGGCUCAACCCCGGAAUAGCCUUUGAGACUGGAUUGCUAGAAUCCUGGAGAGGUGAGUGGAAUUCCGAGUGUAGAGGUGAAAUUCGUAGAUAUUCGGAAGAACACCAGUGGCGAAGGCGGCUCACUGGACAGGUAUUGACGCUGAGGUGCGAAAGCGUGGGGAGCAAACAGGAUUAGAAACCCGAGUAGUCC
rnacentral:rRNA from 1 species